rnacentral:rRNA from 1 species
CCUACGGGAGGCAGCAGUGGGGAAUAUUGCACAAUGGGGGAAACCCUGAUGCAGCGACGCCGCGUGCGUGAUGAAGUAAUUCGUUAUGUAAAGCUCUAUCUGCAGGGAAGAAAAUGACGGUACCUGAGUAAGAAGCCCCGUCUAACUACGUGCCAGCAGCCGCGGUAAUAUGGAGGGGGCCACCGUUAUCCGGAUUUACUGGGCGUAAAGGGGGCGUAGUCGGCUGUGCAAGUCUGGAGGGAAAGGCGGGGGCUCAACCCCCGGACUGCCCGGGAAACUGUACGGCUGGAGUGCAGGAGAGGUAGGUGGAAUUCGUGGUGUAGCGGUGAAAUGCGUAGAUAUUAGGAGGAACACCAGUGGCGAAGGCAGCUUACUGGACUGUAACUGACGUUGAGGCUCGAAAGCGUGGGGAGCAAACAGGAUUAGAUACCCGAGUAGUC